GACGAACGCUGGCGGCGUGCCUAAUACAUGCAAGUCGAACGCUGAAGAGAGGAGCUUGCUCUUCUUGGAUGAGUUGCGAACGGGUGAGUAACGCGUAGGUAGCCUGCCUUGUAGCGGGGGAUAACUAUUGGAAACGAUAGCUAAUACCGCAUAACAAUGGAUGACACAUGUCAUUUAUUUGAAAGGGGCAAUUGUUCCACUACAAGAUGGACCUGCGUUGUAUUAGCUAGUAGGUGAGGUAAUGGCUCACCUAGGCGACGAUACAUAGCCGACCUGAGAGGGUGAUCGGCCACACUGGGACUGAGACACGGCCCAGACUCCUACGGGAGGCAGCAGUAGGGAAUCUUCGGCAAUGGGGGCAACCCUGACCGAGCAACGCCGCGUGAGUGAAGAAGGGUUUCGGAUCGUAAAGCUCUGUUGUAAGUCAAGAACGGGUGUGAGAGUGGAAAGUUCACACUGUGACGGUAGCUUACCAGAAAGGGACGGCUAACUACGUG
rnacentral:rRNA from 1 species